GCCUGGGUGGCUCAGUCGGUUAAGCGUCUGACUUCAGCUCAGGUCUGAUCUCGCCGUCCGUGAGUUCGAGCCCCGCGUCGGGCU
rnacentral:tRNA from 1 species